CAUAAGACAUGAAUAAAGAACCAAAGAGUUCUCAAAGUUUGGUACCCUCGGCUGGUAAAAACCAUAAGACAUGAAGUAAGAACCAAAAGGUUCUCAAAGUUUGGCACGCUCGGCUGGUAAAAACCAUAAGACAUGAAAUAAGAACCAAAAGGUUCUCAAAGUUUGGCAUCCUCGGCUGGUAAACCAUAAGACAAAGGAGUCAAAAGACAUUGGAAGGGUAGUGCAUGCAUGUAAGGAAAUGAGUUGCGAUAUGUUGGAUGAGCGGACUAAAGAAAAUCUUAAGACAAGAUUGUGACUUGUUUGAUUGACCAGAACUUGGAACAACGUACGGCUUAAAGAAGUUUAGCCCACGAGGUAAGUAUAUACAUUCACCUAAAAUGAAGACUAACAAAUUCUUUUUUCUUUUCCUUUCAGGUAUGUGCUUUAACACAAGAUUGUGACUUGUUUGAUGGUAAAAUUGACCAGAACUUGGACCAAUGUAUGUGCUCUUCAAGUUAAGGUGUUCAGAUUGUCAAGACUUUUGAUAGGUAUAUGCUUUCAAACCUUUUUAUUUUUGUUUUAAGUGCAUUCCAAACUUGUUUGUAAUUAGUAUAUGAAAAUCACAAGUGAGAGAUGCAUACAACAUCCUGUACUCCAAAGUGGUAGUUUCUGGUGCUUUUAUCAACCCUUUAAUGAGCUUUAAUGAUGACACAGUUGGGAACAGAUUCCAAUUUGAGAGACUUGGUAUUGUUUUUCAGUUUGAGAAUCAUAAAAAUUGCUUGCUUUUCUA